rnacentral:rRNA from 1 species
UACGGAGGGUGCAAGCGUUGUCCGGAUUUAUUGGGUUUAAAGGGUGCGUAGGCGGCCCAUUAAGUCAGCGGUGAAAUCCCAGGGCUCAACCCUGGAACUGCCGUUGAUACUGGCGGGCUUGAGUUCGGUCGAGGCGGGCGGAACUGGUGGUGUAGCGGUGAAAUGCAUAGAUACCACCAAGAACCCCGAUUGCGUAGGCAGCUCGCUAGGCCGAAACUGACGCUGAGGCACGAAAGCGUGGGGAGCGAACAGG